AGUGAGAUAACUGGGUCAAAUGAUGGUUCCAUUCCAUUUUUUCUGAGGAGUCUUCAUACUGUUUUCCAGAGUGGUUGCACCAAUUUGUAGUCCCACCAGCAAU
rnacentral:pre_miRNA from 1 species